UACGGAGGAUGCAAGCGUUAUCCGGAAUGAUUGGGCGUAAAGCGUCCGCAGGUGGCAGUUCAAGUCUGCUGUCAAAGACCGGGGCUUAACUUCGGAAAGGCAGUGGAAACUGAACAGCUAGAGUAUGGUAGGGGCAGAGGGAAUUCCUGGUGUAGCGGUGAAAUGCGUAGAGAUCAGGAAGAACAUCGGUGGCGAAGGCGCUCUGCUGGACCGCAACUGACACUCAGGGACGAAAGCUAGGGGAGCGAAUGGG
rnacentral:rRNA from 1 species